CCUUUGGAGGGUUUGAUCCUGGCUCAGAGUGAACGCUGGCGGCGUGGAUUAGGCAUGCAAGUCGAGCGAUCUUAUUUUUGCUUUUGUUGCGAGGUAACUCGCGGCAGAAGUAAAAAUUUGAUAGCGGCAAACGGGUGAAUAAUACGCGGGUAACGUACCUUGAGGAAGGGGAUAGCCUCGCGAAAGCGGGAGUAAUACCCUAUGUGUCCCGAUACUGAAAUGUGUCGGAAGAAAGAUGGCCUCUACUUGUAAGCUAUCACCUUAAGAGCGGCCCACGGCCUAUCAGGUAGUUGGUAGGGUAAUGGCCUACCAAGCCUAAGACGGGUAGCUGGUCUGAGAUGAUGGUCAGCCACACCGGAUCUGCGACACUGUCCGGACUCCUACGGGAGGCUGCAGUCGAGGAUCUUUUCCAAUGGACGCAAGUCUGAGAAUGCGACGCCGCGUGGGGGAUGAAGGUCUUCGGAUUGUAAACCCAUUUUAUUGGGGAGGAAUGCUGAAAGGUAAAUAAUCUUUCAGUUUGACUGUACCCGGUGAAUAAGUCAUGGCUAACUCCGUGCCAGCAGCCGCGGUAAUACGGAGAUGGCAAGCGUUACUCGGUUUGACUGGGUGUAAAGGGUUCGCAGGCGGACAGACAAGUGUAAGGUGAAACCUCUUCGCUUAACGAAGAAAGUGCCUUUCAAACUGUCUGACUAGAGGCUGGGAGAGGAGAAUGGAACUGCCGGUGUAAGGGUGAAAUCUGUGGAUAUCGGCAGGAAUGCCUGUGGAAUAAUCGGUUCUCUGGUCCAGUCCUGACGCUCAGGAACGAAAGCUAGGGGAGCAAACAGAAUUAGAUACUCUGGUAGUCCUAGCCGUAAACGAUGGGCACUAGGUGUUUGUCCGUAAGGAUGGGUGCCGAAGCUAACGCGUUAAGUGCCCCACCUGGGGACUACGGCCGCAAGGCUAAAACUCAAAGGAAUUGGCGGGGGCCCGCACAAGCGGUGGAACACGUGGUUUAAUUCGAUGCUACGCGAGGAACCUUACCAGGGUUUGACAUGCUGGUAGUAAUCGCCUGAAAGGGUGGGUGAACUGUAUCCAGUCAGUUGCCAGCACAGGUGCUGCAUGGCUGUCGUCAGCUCGUGCCGUGAGGUGUUACCUUAAGUGGUAGAACGAGCGCAACCCUCGUUUUUAGUUGCAACCCUUGAUGUUGAAUCAGGGGGCACUCUAAAGAGACUGCCCGCGUUAAGUGGGAGGAAGGCGGGGACGACGUCAAGUCCGCAUGGCCCUUAUAUCCUGGGCUACACACGUGUUACAAUGCCUACUACAACGGGGGGCCAAACCGUAAGGUGGAGCAAAUCCUUAAAAAGUAGGCUCAGUUCUGAUUGAGGGCUGCAACUCGCCCUCAUGAAGCUGGAAUCGCUAGUAAUGGCGCAUCAGCGAUGGCGCCGUGAAUACGUUCCCGGGCCUUGCACACACCGCCCGUCAAGCGCUGAAAGUGGGGGGCGCCCGAAUCCCCUGUAAAGGGUCCACGGUGAAUUUCAUGAUUGGCGCUAAGUCGUAACAAGGUAGCCGUACGGGAACGUGCGGCUGGAUCACCUCCUUU
rnacentral:rRNA from 1 species